GUGAGGAGAACUAGUUCCUGGUGCCUCCGCCAGAAACUGCAGACACCGCACUCCACAUCACAGAGGAGAGCUGAACGCCAGCGGAGCCCUGUCCUCCAUUCGCUGUGGCUCAGUGAAGAUCCUCUAUACUGCAUGUGCCUGCAGAGCUUCCCGGCACAGGUCAGCCAGUUCAGCAGGUCCAACAUCACAGUCAUCGUUAUUGUCACUGCCCGUCACUCAGCAAGCACCGCAUCUCGCUGAUGUCCCAUGCCUCGUUCCGUCUGUCCUGCUUCCAUCACAGCCGUCUAGGCAAAGAGUCUAGGAAUUAUAGUGCUGCCAACCCUAGGUUAUUUGCAGGGGUCAGCGAACCUUUCCUGCAAAGAGCCAGAGAGCAAACAGCUACUGCUUUGAGCUUUCUUUGUAGGGUCACAGUAAUAUCCUGGCGCUUUCUUCUUCUCCCGUUUCCCUGUAGCUCAUAGGUUAUGCCAAAGCUGGCCACAAGCCAAAUUUGACUGGCAAGACCUAGUUUAAUGAUCCCUGGCCAUUACAAUCCACUGGACACAGGGACAGGUGUGCUUUACGUGUUACAAUGUGAUUUGUUUCUCGAAAUCCCAUGUAUAGGGGGCUUGGUCCUCAGAGCAGUGGCACUGGGAGGUGGUGUGACCUUUUAAGAGGUGGGGCCUUAGAUCAUUGAAGCUGCUGGGGAUUGAGUGCAUGGGACACAUUGGUUUAUUCGGAAGUUAGGGUGCUAAAAAGAGCAGCCACAGGGAAAAAAAAAAAAAAACCUCCUUCAUGCCUAUCUUCAUUUCUGGUGAUACAUUCUCCCCUUCCUUGAUGCGCUUUGCCCUGAUGCCAUCCAAUACGGACUCUCAUCAAAGACAUAAGCCAUGGGUCACCCAAUCUUGGACUCUCGGCCUCCAGGGCAGCGAGUUAAAUAAGUUUCUUUUCUUUAUAAAAGCGGCCUGCCUCAGCUAUUACAUGCCAGUGUUGAAAGGAGAUCAGUCAUGGUAAGCGGUUCAAUUCCAGACUGAAAUCUUGGUUACAGGCAUAUUUACAGAAGCUUUUCUAGUCUAGGAUUCCAGUUGGGGUUCUUUUGUGAGUGACUCAGUCAGGCCCAUUUGUCACUUCCUGCGAAUCUUGGCCUGAGAACAGUCAGUGAUGUUUUUCCUUGUCAGGCUUUAAGAAUUCAGCAGGAGCACCCCAAACACCCAAACCACACAGUCCUCAGCAGGCUUGGAACAGACUUCACUAAAGGGUAGGCUUUCAGGCAGAGAACUGACAGGGCUCAGUGUGCCAGCUUGACAUGGCUGGAGGGAUGGAUGUCAGGGGCAACCCAUGAGGAGAACCCUCACUCCGCUCUUCACAUUCCGGGUUUAGAAGGAAACCAGAGGAGCUCAGGGAACACUUUGCCAGCCAUAUCACAAUGGAGCUUCCUGCUGGGGAGAAUAUUCCAGAUGCAGAGAGACCGUUGAAGCUUGAACUUUGGUCUUUCAUAACCUGUGCCCUUCGCUUUCCCAGGCUCUAGAGGGUGGAGCGGUGAGGGUGACCAUGAGCUCAUGCUGUAGACAAGGGUUAUCAAAGGCGUGAUUCCUAUCACGCUGAGAGCUGGCAAUGUCUUGUGCAGAGGAGCAAUGGGGACAGACAUCCACCUUAUAUGGCUGUGAGGAUUAAGAGAAGGCAUGUGGUAACUCUGGUUAGUGGUAACUCUGACUAUUGUGCACACGGGUAGUCACAGCUUGUGAAGUCAAGGCGGGGCCCUAGUGGCCACACCUACCUCCAGCCUCAGCCUCCAGCUUUCUUCUUUGUGUCCUCCGGGAUUAAGAACCCUGCUGGUGACUAGCUUUGAUCUUCUCAGGGCAUAAACGGCCUCAAUUCAGAUGCUAAUCUAGGACAUCCAUAUUAGGGGGAGAAAUGCCAGUGACAAUGUUGGAAGGAGACUAAGAUGACUUUCUUGGGGGACACAGGAGCAGAGGGAGAUAGUGCAAGAGGAACUACUGCAAGGCUUGCUGGGAGAAACCUAUGGCUCAGAAGAAUAGAGAGCUCAGCCCUUGACUAAUAAGAGAACCUUUCUCCUUGUGAAGGAGGAAGAGUCUCGUGGAUGGGGAUCACAUCGAAAGUAAGGCUAGGAUCAGACAAUGAGAUUACCUCAAACAUGGAGGAUUGCCUUAGAUAAGGGGGAUCACCUCAGACAUGAUUACCUCAGACACAGAAGGAUCACCAUGGGCAUAGAGAAUCACCUCAGAUAUGAUCACCUCAGAUAUGAUCACCCAGACAUGGAAGGAUCACCAUGGGCAUAGAGAAUCACCUCAGAUAUGAUCACCCAGACAUGGAAGGAUCACUUCAGACAUGCAGGUCAUCUCAGGAGACCCCAGGGGAAGAUCCAGAGUAGUGGAUGCUGCUAGGCUUCAACUCCUGGGCAGUGCCAAGUGAACUUUCCACCCAUCAAAGACAAGACAACCUCGUCUCCCCCAUCACACCCUAACACUUUGAGAGUCUUUAAAUGGUUCAAUGUCAUACAAGUAAAUCUCGGGCCUCAAACCAGUCCCAGGGCAGUUCUACUCCCUCCUUUGCCCUUUGGACGGGAGCCUGAAUGGUUGGUAUGCUUCCAGACACUGCUCUUGAAACAACAAAUAGCCUAAGCCGAUGCCCUAUCCCUGGGGAGUUCCCUACCCUGAAACGCGAGCAUCGGCAGCCUCCACCUUGGAAAAGUUCUAAUUUCCCAGAUGCGUUCCCCAUUUACCCAUCCUCAAGUGCCUUGCCUCCAUUGGGCCUGUAAGGUUAAUAAACAACACCAUCCCGUUUGGUUACGUUCCCCUUUAGAACGCCAGUCUUUUCUCUCUAUGCGUUUGCGGGCAGGGAAAAUCACUUCUUCCUUUUAUCUCUGCACAGUAAUCAUGACCUUAUUUCCCGAAUACACCCUUGCAACACCUGGCUUCAAAAACAAGAAAGGCUACAUGGAAGCGUUGUGUUCUGGCCGACGGUCAACCUGGGGCAUAGGAUGUCCUAGGUGGGUGUGCAGCAGCAAAUCCAGAGAGGCCGCCCUGUCUUCCGGCGCCUCGCCAUGUAUGAAUGAGAAAGGAAAUGAAUGAACUUGGCUGGGUGAGCGAGGGGUGCCAGUAGAGAGCUUUCACUGUCCUGCGGGGUGCCCGGAUCUGACGUGUCGCCGCAAGCGGUAGGAAGGUAGGCCCGCAGGCUCGUGGCCCCAGGACUCCGCUGGGCGCGAAUUGCGUAGGGGCCCGGCAUAAGUGCCCCCCGCGCCCGCAGUGGUACGCGCCACUCUGCGCCGGGCGAGCCGACAGCCGCCGCGCCAGGUGAAUGGAAGGCCCGCGGGCCGGAAGUGGACGAGCCCACUCGCCAGAAUGCGGAGGGGCGCACGAGCCGGCCGCGUCUUCAUUGAGGAACCCGGGAGGCGAACAUGGAGUUCCAUGUGCGUCUUAUGUAAAGGGAGCGACGGUCGUCUCAACCAAUUGACGCGCACCGAUCUCAGGUUCCGCCCCGCCAGUAUGCAGAUGAGGCGGCACCGCAACCAAUGGUGCGCGCCGGGGCGGGCGCAGCGCGCGCGGUCACGUUUUCCACUAUGUGACAGCGG